GGCAACGGGUGAGUAACACGUGGGUGACCUGCCUUCGAGUGGGGGAUAACGUCCCGAAAGGGACGCUAAUACCGCAUGACAUCCUGCUCUUGGACGAGCGGAGAUCAAAGCUAGGGAUCGCAAGACCUGGCGCUUGAAGAGGGGCCCGCGCCUGAUUAGCUAGUUGGUGGGGUAACGGCCUACCAAGGCAACGAUCAGUAGCCGGCCUGAGAGGGCGGACGGCCACACUGGGACUGAGACACGGCCCAGACUCCUACGGGAGGCAGCAGUGGGGAAUUGUUCGCAAUGGGCGCAAGCCUGACGACGCAACGCCGCGUGGAGGACGAAGAUCUUCGGGUCGUAAACUCCUGUCGAGCGGGAAGAACACCCACCCGGUGAACAAUCGGGAGGGCUGACGGUACCGCUAAAGGAAGCCCCGGCUAACUCCGUGCCAGCAGCCGCGGUAAUACGGGGGGGGCAAGCGUUGUUCGGAAUUACUGGGCGUAAAGGGCGCGUAGGCGGCCAACUAAGUCGGAUGUGAAAUCCCCAGGCUCAACUUGGGAACUGCAUCCGAUACUGGUCGGCUUGAAUCCGGGAGAGGGAUGCAGAAUUCCAGGUGUAGCGGUGAAAUGCGUAGAUAUCUGGAGGAAUACCGGUGGCGAAGGCGGCAUCCUGGA
rnacentral:rRNA from 1 species